rnacentral:rRNA from 1 species
UGAGCAAUCUGCCCUUCACAUCGGAAUAACCAUUGGAAACGAUGGCUAAUACCGAAUAUGACUUCGGAUCGCAUGAUCUGAAGUGGAAAGCUCCGGCGGUGAAGGAUGAGCUCGCGGCCUAUCAGCUUGUUGGUGAGGUAAUAGCUCACCGAAC